GACGAACGCUGGCGGCGUGCCUAAUACAUGCAAGUAGAACGCUGAAGGAGGAGCUUGCUUCUCCGGAUGAGUUGCGAACGGGUGAGUAUCGCGUAGGUAACCUGCCUGGUAGCGGGGGAUAACUAUUGGAAACGAUAGCUAAUACCGCAUAACAGUAGAUGUUGCAUGACAUUUGCUUAAAAGGUGCAAUUGCAUCACUACCAGAUGGACCUGCGUUGUAUUAGCUAGUUGGUGAGGUAACGGCUCACCAAGGCGACGAUACAUAGCCGACCUGAGAGGGUGAUCGGCCACACUGGGACUGAGACACGGCCCAGACUCCUACGGGAGGCAGCAGUAGGGAAUCUUCGGCAAUGGACGGAAGUCUGACCGAGCAACGCCGCGUGAGUGAAGAAGGUUUUCGGAUCGUAAAGCUCUGUUGUAGGAGAAGAACGAGUGUGAGAGUGGAAAGUUCACACUGUGACGGUAUCUUACCAGAAAGGGACGGCUAACUACGUG
rnacentral:rRNA from 1 species